GAUGAACGCUGGCGGCGUGCCUAAUACAUGCAAGUCGAGCGAACAGACGAGGAGCUUGCUCCUCUGACGUUAGCGGCGGACGGGUGAGUAACACGUGGAUAACCUACCUAUAAGACUGGGAUAACUUCGGGAAACCGGAGCUAAUACCGGAUAAUAUAUUGAACCGCAUGGUUCAAUAGUGAAAGACGGUUUUGCUGUCACUUAUAGAUGGAUCCGCGCCGCAUUAGCUAGUUGGUAAGGUAACGGCUUACCAAGGCGACGAUGCGUAGCCGACCUGAGAGGGUGAUCGGCAACAGGGGAAAGGAGACCGGGCCAAGACCCCAAGGGGAGGAAGAAGGAGGGAAUCGUCCGAAAGGGGAGAAAGCCGGACGAAGAAACGCCGGGGGAGGAAAGAAGGUAUUGGGAACGAAAAACUUUGUUAUAAGGAAAAAAAAAAUGGGAAAGAAAAAAGGCGCGUCUGGAGGGAACAAAAUAAAAAAGCCACGGAAAACAACGUG
rnacentral:rRNA from 1 species